rnacentral:ncRNA from 1 species
CUUCCGCUCUUCCCGCACAGAAGAGUGGAACGAGGUUCACGGCGCUCUCUGCCCUGACGCGCCCGAGCCUUGGAACUCCGGGCUGCGGCGCUGGGCGGGGUGAGGGUCCCACCCCGGCGC